AGGACGAACGCUGGCGGCGUGCUUAACACAUGCAAGUCGAGCGGAAAGGCCCUUCGGGGUACUCGAGCGGCGAACGGGUGAGUAACACGUGAGUAAUCUGCCCCUAGCUCUGGGAUAGCUCCGGGAAACCGGGAUUAAUACCGGAUACGACCACUUUAGACAUCUGUUGUGGUGGAAAGAAUUUUGGCUAGGGAUGAGCUCGCGGCCUAUCAGCUUGUUGGUGGGGUAAUGGCCUACCAAGGCGACGACGGGUAGCCGGCCUGAGAGGGCGACCGGCCACGACCUGGGACUGAGACACGGCCCAGACUCCUACGGGAGGCAGCAGUGGGGAAUAUUGCGCAAUGGGCGAAAGCCUGACGCAGCGACGCCGCGUGGGGGGAUGAAGGCCUUCGGGUUGUAAACCCUUUCAGCAGGGACGAAGCGAAAGUGACGGUACCUGCAGAAGAAGCGCCGGCUAACUACGUGCCAGUAGCCGC
rnacentral:rRNA from 1 species